rnacentral:rRNA from 1 species
CCUACGGGUGGCAGCAGUGAGGAAUAUUGGUCAAUGGACGCAAGUCUGAACCAGCCAUGCCGCGUGCAGGAAGACGGCUCUAUGAGUUGUAAACUGCUUUUGUACGAGGGUAAACUCAGAUACGCGUAUCUUUCUGAACGUACCGUACGAAUAAGGAUCGGCUAACUCCGUGCCAGCAGCCGCGGUAAUACGGAGGAUUCAAGCGUUAUCCGGGUUUAUUGGGUUUAAAGGGUGCGUAGGCGGUCGGAUAAGUUAGAGGUGAAAUCCCGGGGCUCAACUUCGGAAUUGCCUCUGAUACUGUUCGGCUAGAGAGUAGUUGCGGUAGGCGGAAUGUAUGGUGUAGCGGUGAAAUGCUUAGAGAUCAUACAGAACACCGAUUGCGAAGGCAGCUUACCAAGCUACUUCUGACGUUGAGGCACGAAAGCGUGGGGAGCAAACAGGAUUAGAUACCCCAGUAGUC